rnacentral:lncRNA from 1 species
GGAGAGGAGGUUAGCUGAGGGCGGAGCUUGGAGCAGUUCUGGGGAAGCAGACGCUAUGUGGUCAGAGACGGCGAACUUGGUUAGGGAGGUAGCACGGGGUGUGCUCGGGGUACCAAGGGCUAUUCAGGCAGACAUCAGGGUGAUUGGUGGUGGAACGGUGUAGUCGAAGGAAAAGUGGAGGUGAAGAAGGCGGCGUUUGCUAAGUUGGCAGGG